rnacentral:rRNA from 1 species
UACGUAGGGGGCAAGCGUUGUCCGGAUUUAUUGGGCGUAAAGAGCGUGUAGGCGGCCAUGCAGGUCCGCUGUGAAAACUCGAGGCUCAACCUCGAGACGUCGGUUGAAACCGUCUGGCUAGAGUCCGGAAGAGGAGAGUGGAAUUCCCGGUGUAGCGGUGAAAUGCGCAGAUAUCGGGAAGAACACCCGUGGCGAAGGCGGCUCUCUGGGACGGUACUGACGCUGAGACGCGAAAGCGUGGGGAGCGAACAGG